CGGUGUUUAACUGGCGUGAUGUGGGACGUCCUACCGGUGGGCUUAGCCUCGCGAGGGGCGGCCCAACUAAUAUCCCGUCGCGGUGCUCUUUACUGAGUGUCGAGUCGGGCCGGUACGUUUACUUUGAACAAAUUAGAGUGCUUAAAGCAGGCUAUCCUCGCCUGAAUACUGCGUGCAUGGAAUAAUGGAAUAGGACCUCGGUUCUAUUUUGUUGGUUUUCGGAACCCCGAGGUAAUGAUUAAUAGGGACAGAUGGGGGCAUUCGUAUUGCGACGUUAGAGGUGAAAUUCUUGGAUCGUCGCAAGACGGACAGAAGCGAAAGCAUUUGCCAAAAAUGUUUUCAUUAAUCAAGAACGAAAGUUAGAGGUUCGAAGGCGAUCAGAUACCGCCCUAGUUCUAACCAUAAACGAUGCCAGCUAGCGAUCCGCCGAAGUUCCUCCGAUGACUCGGCGGGCAGCUUCCGGGAAACCAAAGCUUUUGGGUUCCGGGGGAAGUAUGGUUGCAAAGCUGAAACUUAAAGGAAUUGACGGAAGGGCACCCCCCGGAGUGGAGCCUGCGGCUUAAUUUGACUCAACACGGGAAACCUCACCAGGCCCAGACACCGGAAGGAUUGACAGAUUGAUAGCUCUUUCUUGAUUCGGUGGGGUGGUGGUGCAUGGCCGUUCUUAGUUGGUGGAGCGAUUUGUCUGGUUAAUUCCGAUAACGAACGAGACUCUAGCCUGCUAAAUAGGCGUACCUUAUGGUAUCGCGAAGGCCCCCGGCUUCGGCCGGUGGGUUUUUACUACCAACGUACAAACAAAUCUUUUUAGAGGGACAGGCGG
rnacentral:rRNA from 1 species